AACGAAUGAGCUGCUCUUGGCGGCUUCAUGGUGUCAUUCACUCGCUCUUUAUCGCGUGUGGGGACUUGAUUGUGUGGCAUGUUGUCAGCAUUAUGCUGGACAGAAGAUACCUCUUUGCAGCCUCGAACAGUGAAUUCUUUGACUGAUCGGAUGUCAUCAAUCAACUUUGCCAGGCCCUGCAGAACACAGGAAACCUUUGGAGUAGGCCAGAAUUGCAUUGAUGCGAACAGGGGCUGGAGCUGCAUGUUCUGCA